GCGUGGGUCGGCCCGCCGGCGGGAACCAGCGGGCUGGGGGACACCGUCGCCUCAUUCCCCGCGGGCGGCGGACCGGUCCGGAGGGCGAGGAGCGCCCUCCGGACCGCG
rnacentral:ncRNA from 1 species